UUGGAGGGCAAGUCUGGUGCCAGCAGCCGCGGUAAUUCCAGCUCCAAUAGCGUAUAUUAAAGUUGUUGCAGUUAAAAAGCUCGUAGUUGAAUUUCGGGAUCAAAUAAUCGGUCGUGCCUCCGGUACGUACUGGUUUUAUUGGUUCCUCCCUUCUGACGAACCAUGAUGUCAUUAAUUUGAUGUGGUGGAGAAUCAGGACUGUUACCUUGAAAAAAUUAGAGUGUUUAAAGCAGGCUAACGCUUGAAUACAUUAGCAUGGAAUAAUGAAAUAGGACGUUCGACCCUAUUUUGUUGGUUUCUAGGAUCGACGUAAUGAUUAAUAGGGAUAGUUGGGGGCAUUAGUAUUCAAUUGUCAGAGGUGAAAUUCUUGGAUUUAUUGAAGACUAACUAUUGCGAAAGCAUUUGCCAAGGAUGUUUUCAUUAAUCAAGAACGAAAGUUAGGGGAUCGAAGACGAUCAGAUACCGUCGUAGUCUUAACCAUAAACUAUGCCGACUAGGAAUCGGGCGUCGUUAUUUUAACGACUCGUUCGGCGCCUUACGGGAAAC
rnacentral:rRNA from 1 species